UACAUAAUUAAGAUAAUUUCAAUUAUUUUUAAUGAGUGUAUUUUCUUUAUUUUCGUAAAAGUUAAAAAAAUGAAUAAAUAAUGCAAUUCAUGGAAUGAUAUGACGUGAUAUGUAUGACGUCAUAUUGCAGAGUUCUCGCUGUGCGCUGGUCGGCAAUCUUGAAAAAUAAAUUGUGAAGGUCGUAUUUCCAGCUUUCCUGCGAGACGGCAGUUCAGAUGCAGUCGUCCUGUGUGUCAGAAAGCUGGUGAUCAAAAUGGUUGAAGGCAGUACCCAAGAAAGUACAUUUACAAAUUUGUGAGGAGUAACCUUGCCUAUAUUACGGUAUAUUACCUGAAGCUCACCCAAUAUGCAGUGUGUUCUGCUCUGUCAAUAACAAAUGAGAUGCCAUACAUCCGACAGAAGACAGCAGACAGAAUUCGUCGAUCUAUUUGAAAUGUCAUUGUUUAUUUGAAAAAAGUUCUAUCCACACUUGUUGUUUUAAAUUGUUGUUUUGUACCGUUGCUUUUUG